rnacentral:rRNA from 1 species
GACAGAGGAUGCAAGCGUUAUCCGGAAUGAUUGGGCGUAAAGCGUGUGUAGGUGGCUUUUCAAGUCCGCCGUCAAAUCCCAGGGCUCAACCCUGGACAGGCGGUGGAAACUAUCAAGCUGGAGUACGGUAGGGGCAGAGGGAAUUUCCGGUGGAGCGGUGAAAUGCAUUGAGAUCGGAAAGAACACCAACGGCGAAAGCACUCUGCUGGGCCGACACUGACGCUGAGAGACGAAAGCUAGGGGAGCAAAUGGG